UCGCAGUUAUUGCUAAAUCCGAUUUCAGAAAAUCAUGAGGAAUUCAGCGUAGGUUAUAACAGUGUCUGUUGUUAUUGUUCUGAGAUGAACCUCUUUGUGUUUGACAAUUGUGCGAAAUCGGUGUUUGUUACUAAGUCAAAGGAAGAAGAUGCAGAAAAUAUUGCAGUAUCACAGUCUGCCACUAUGAGUUCAACAUUUCCCAAGACCAAUCAGACAGCUUCUCACGCCGUAGACAUUGUUCUUAAAUGUAUUUCCCUCACCUUACUUGCAUAUACCAAUUUGGACUUCCAACCUUAGAUUUAAAUAGACCUUUAAGCGAUUUUUUUGACGUUAACAAAGUCACCAUCUACAACAGACAGGAUUGCUGUGGUAAGCAUUUUAAGGUUUAAAAAUAAACAAUAGUAUUCGAGAUGGUAGUAAUUUGCAGGUUAUUUGCCUCAUUAUGUUGUGGACUCACUGUUUCAAAGUAAAUCAUUGUUAAAGGACAAUUUCAUCGACUAUUAAAUCCAAGCUGUUUUAUUGGUUUCUCAGUCUGUUGUUAUGUAUUAUGUUCUAUCAUUCAUAUUUUAAAUAUAUUCUGUGUUUUGAAACAGUAUGAUUUACCAUUCUGUUCCCGAAUAUCUCGAUACAUCAUUCAAUCAAUUCAGACAACAUCUGCAGCAAUCGAAGAAUGCUCUGGUUUGAAAAAUUGUCAUGGGGAAUUUAUUAACUAAAUUUUGUAUGAAUUCAAACGACAAACAUAAAUGUGUUUUUGUAACAUUUCAUAUUCUUUUUUUUACUUCUUUAUCCACUUUUUGUCUUCUAAUUCAAUGUCAUAGUUAAAAUUCAAAUACAAUCAACGCUAGUGGAAACCAUUGAACACAAUUCAAGAUUAAGAAUGUACACAAAUCCGUAGUAGGAUACUUUUCGUCAUUGCUUGCCAUCUUACAUGCAAGUAUUUAUCAAUCACUAUGGAUUAUUACUUUUAUUUUUAAAAACAUAAAACAAAAUCAAAACAACAACCAAAAAGAAAAAAAGAAGAAAAACUUUUGCAUUUGCCGAUUAGCAAAAUGAUUUCGUACAUUUAGAUCAAUGACAAAACUCAAUUUUAACAGAUAUAGACGGGAAAUAAAAGACACCGGUAUAAAGGUAUCAAUCAUCAAACUUACUGCUUAUGUGAAAGAAACUAAUUUUGAGAUGAAGAAAAAAAUAAUACUUACCACUUUUAAUGAAUUAUUGUUAUAUAUUCCAUAAAGGGGAAAGAUUGCAUGAUGUCCAAGUAAACAUCAUAAACAAUGGAAUGGAAGCAUCGUGUGGAUUCUACAAAGGACCAGCAAACCUUGGUGACCGGAUAUCGAUGUAUUGUGCUUCCGGUGCUGUAGGUAGAUAUGUGCUAGUGACAAU